UUGCUCACUGCAGUAGCAUGCAUGCUAAGACUGGAACGAAACGGGGAUUAGCAUGGCCCCUACGCAAGGAUGACAAUAAAUUUGUAAAGGGUCCCAUGUGUUU
ensembl:snRNA U6 U6 spliceosomal RNA